rnacentral:pre_miRNA from 1 species
AUAACAAUCAUCCAGGGACCUUGUUAAAAUGCAGAUUCUGAUUCAGUAGAUUUAUUCUGAAACUAAGAUUUGCCUCUCUGGAAAGCCCCAGGGUGAUGGUGAU